GGUAUAGAAGAGAAGAAAAAGAAGGUUCCUGCUGUGCCAGAAAUCCUUAAGAAAAAGUGAAAAUAUUUCUCAGAGUUGAAGAUCAAGUGUCUGAGAAUGAAGUAUGCCCCAAAGAUGCUUCCAAAGGCAAGGAGGUAGCUUACCCAUGAAAAAGCUAAGUGUUAUCAUAAGGAGUACGGGCAGAUGUCCAGAACUGAAAUUCGGAUGGCUGGGAUGGCAAGAAAAUCUGGCAACUUCUAUGUACAUGCAGAAUCCAAAUUGGCAUAUGUGAUAAGGAUCAGCGGUAUCAACUACGUGGGUAAAAAGGUCCAAGAGGUGUUGCAGCUUCUUUGCCUGCAACAGAUCUGGAACUAAACUUCUGUUAAGCUCAACAAGGCUUCAGUUAACAUGCUGAAGAUUGUAGAACCACAUAGUGCAUGGGGGUACCCAAAUAUGAAGUCAGUAAAUGAAUUAAUCUACAAGCAUGGUUAUGGCAAAAUCAAUAAGAAACGAAUUGCAUUGACUGAUAACAGUUUUAUUGUGAAAUCUCUUGAUAAAUAUGGCAUCAUCUGUAUGGAUGAUCUGAUUCAUGAGAUCUAUACUGUUGUAAAACACUUCAAAGAAGCAAAUAACUUCUUGUGGCCCUUCAAGUUAUCAUCUCCCUGGGGUGGAAUGAAGAAAAAGACAACCCACUUUGUAGAAGGUAGAGAUGCUGGUAACAGGGAAGACCAAAUCAAUAGACUUAUUAGAAGAAUGAGCUAAGGUAUCUUCCCUGAUUAUUUUUGUAAUCUGGUCAGUUAAUAAACAGUGACUGCAUUCAAAUUGAAAAAAAAAAAAAA